rnacentral:rRNA from 1 species
UACAGAGGUCCCAAGCGUUGUUCGGAUUCACUGGGCGUAAAGCGCGCGCAGGCGGUCUGCUAAGUUUGGAGUGACAGUUGGUGGCUUAACUGCCAAAGUGCUUCGAAAACUGACAGACUUGAGGGCUUCAGAGGGACACGGAAUUCCGGGUGGAGUGGUGAAAUGCGUAGAGAUCCGGAGGAACACCAAAGGCGAAGGCAGUGUCCUGGGGAGUACCUGACGCUCAGGUGCGAAAGCCAGGGGAGCGAACGGG